rnacentral:lncRNA from 1 species
AUACGGUUCCUAAUUGCAUGCAACCAGACAACUAAUUUAUUUAUAGUUGAAAUGCUUUUCACUUUAUCCAACCAAAUAAGAAUAUAUAUUCACUACAAUAAAAACGGUCUAUAGCGACACUUUUAAAUAUCGGCAUAGGUCAAAAAAAAGUGUUGCUGGCUAAAUUACCGACACUGUUAAAAAGUGUUGCUAUAUGUGGAGUCGCAAGGUAUAUAGCGACAGUUAAGGAGUGUCGCUAUAACCUAAAAAAGUGCUGCUAAUUUAGCAACACCUAUUUAAGCAUCUAGCAACCGUCGGAACUCUACCUCGUUGGCUGCGGUGGCGGAGGAGAACGAGAGGGAAGGGCCUUUCGUCUAGGAUUUCAGUAGAUUGAGUGAGGGGAGAAUGGGAGAUGGCAAUCGAUUUUUCUUUUUUUUUCCUUUUUGUUUAGAAUCGGACCAAAUGGGCUGGGUUGGGUGGGUUGAGUAUAAUAACAUUUUAUUUUUUAUUGGAUUCGGCUUUAUAUUUAGAGAUUAGUAGAUGUUUUUUAAAAUUUUGACAUAAAUGAGACACUUAAACAAAAGUGUCCCUAACAUGCGUCCCUAUAACCUAAUUUUAUUGUAGUGAUUAUAGUUAUAACUGCUAAAUUUUUAACUACUAUGUUGUCUUUAUAACUACAUCAACUAUAUGUAAAUAAUAAGAAUACAAGCUUCUUUGGCAUUUGCCUUUGUUGUUGGGUAUAAUUUAUUUGAUAAACAGUGUAUGAUUAUUGGCACAGGGAGAUCAUCUAUCUUAAAAUAUCCCUGAAAUAAUUAGUAAAUCUAUAUUUUUUGUAGAGCCAAAUUCUCGAAGAAUAUUUAGACUUUUGCGUUUUUCCAUAGGACCGCGAAAAGAUAUAUCGUAACAGACUCAUUGCGAUAUGCAGAACGCAAUAAUUACAUACGGAAACAAACAUGAUAUUUUUCUAUCGUACUUUUUUGUGGCAGAUAACGCAAUCUUCCCACAACCCCAAACAAAGCCUAAGCCUUAGCUGCAAUCAAUUUUUGCCUAAAAAAAAUAAAAAUAAAAAUAAAUAAAUAAACAA